AAGAAAAAGAAUUACAACCAUGGCCCGAGGGCCUCCACCCGACCUAUUCUGCCCCAGAUCGAACCCUUCCACCAAAUCGAACCCUCGCUCCUCCUCGACCGCCGCCGUCGCCGCCCCCACCCCUAUGCCGUUGGCCACACCCUCUCUCUUGGCUGAUCUGUGCAACCCCAUCGGGAUCUAUGGCGGCAGUGCUUGGAUCUCGGCGUCGCCUCCCUCCAGACGCAUCUGGUGUGCGAGAUCAAAGUCGCCUCCCUCCCUUCGACACCACCACCAGAACUGCUCGACACCGCCGGUCGCCUCCCUCUCUUCUACACGGCGACGAGCAUGGGUGGAUUCCCCUCAUGGCUUCCUCCCCGCGAACGGCGACGCGGUGCCUCCUCUCCACUAUGCACGUACAACACGCUCCUUAGAUCUGUCCUGGUGGAAACUCGAUGAGGUGCUAUUAGGGAAAGGAUUGGAGACUGGUUCUAGUAGUGGUUGGUUUGUUGGAGGAUUUUCUAGUGCUCAUGAUUUGCAAAUGGUUCAGCCAGUACUGGCGUCUAGCAACCUUGAAGCCCACAGUCGACCUGUAGGCCACAUCUCUCUCAGUGUUGCAUGAUGUGCUAUAAGAUGAUAAGUCUUGUGAUUGUGCGCCUUCAGCUCCUUUUAUAUGCCUUCAAGUACCUGGCACACAGUUAUUAUGAGCCAAUGAUAAUUGAACUCCACACUGCUUUUGUUCCACUUGGCCUUCGUUUCACUCUUGCGCCAGCGGCGCAAUGGGUGGAAUCUAGUGUACAAAAGAGUGAACAUGUAAUUUGUCUUCCUGGACAUGGCUGUAGCCAUGCGCUGUGCAUAGCCAUUUGUGUAGCUCAGUUUGAAGAUACAAAAUAUUGUUUUCUUAUGUAAAUUUUGUGUACCAUUGUAGCUGAAUGCUACUGAACACAUGUAUGGAUGUGGAAGUACAAAAUUAUCAGUCUAUG
rnacentral:rRNA from 1 species